AUACGGAGGGUCCGAGCGUUAAUCGGAAUUACUGGGCGUAAAGCGCGCGUAGGUGGUUCAGUCAGUCAGAUGUGAAAGCCCCGGGCUCAACCUGGGAACUGCACCUGAUACUGCUGAGCUAGAGUACGGUAGAGGGCAGUGGAAUUUCCGGUGUAGCGGUGAAAUGCGUAGAGAUCGGAAGGAACACCAGUGGCGAAGGCGACUGCCUGGACUGAGACUGGCCCUAAGGUGCGAAAGCGUGGGUAGCAAACAAGAUUAGAUGCCCUGGUAGUCCACGCCGUAAACGAUGUCAACUAGCCGUUGGGGGACUUGAUCCUUUAGUGGCGAAGCUAACGCGAUAAGUUGACCGCCUGGGGAGUACGGCCGCAAGGUUAAAACUCAAAUGAAUUGACGGGG
rnacentral:rRNA from 1 species